rnacentral:tRNA from 1 species
GCCUGGCUGGCUUAGUCAGUAGAGCAUGCAACUCUUGACCUCAAGGUUGUGAGUUCAAGUCCCAUGUUGGGUG